rnacentral:rRNA from 1 species
UACGUAGGUGACCAGCGUUGUCCGGAUUUACUGGGCGUAAAGAGCGCGCAGGCGGUCGUUCAAGUCGAGUGUGAAAGCCCCCGGCUCAACUGGGGAGGGUCAUUCGAUACUGAUCGACUCGAAGGCAGGAGAGGGAAGCGGAAUUCCCGGUGUAGUGGUGAAAUGCGUAGAUAUCAGGAGGAACACCGAUGGCGAAGGCAGGUCUCUGGGCCACUACUGACGCUGAGAAGCGAAAGCAUGGGGAGCGAACAGG